AAGACUAUUAGUUUAGUAGUCGUCGACCCGACAGAAGCAACCUGAACUUCCAGAACUUCAUAUUUCUCCUCUUCAGUAUCUCAGUCAGAAACAGAAACACUGUUGAAAUGAUCCAGUUCAAGUUCCAGUAAGAUCAGGUUUGUUUUAAUGAUCCAGCUCGUUUCUCUGGAGUCUGAAGGUCCUGUGGUUUCACCUGUUCACCAGCAGAGGGCAGAUUUACACCGAGCUGCUGUUCUGCAGACUGUAGAGGAACUCUGUCUGCCUGAUGCAGUCAGGAGGCAACAACAACAACAACAGGAACAGUGUUUGUUCUAGUUGUUGUUCUAGUUGUUGUCGUGGUGCCAUGCUGGUCUCUGAUUGGCUGACAGAAUACGACGCUGAACAAACUGUUUGUUCUCGGCUGCUUUAACACGAGUCUCCAAAAAUCCUUCAGUCGAGGAGGAUUUAAGAAAUAAGAGUCCAAUAAAUAAUCCUAUAAAUUAAAAUCAAUAAGUUUAAAAUAAACAUAAGAUUCGAUAGAAAUAGAAACAAUAUGUGAGCAGGGUCGCUGCUGGUGGAGCUGCUGCACCGUCCCUCCACACCAGCAGGGGCAGCGUCUCCAGAGACACAGCCAAUAAAUCCAGAACCUGGGCCCAUAAAUCCAGAACCUGGGCCCCUUGAUUUGGGAUUUACAACCUGGUUUAAUAGGCUGUCGGGUCCUUUCAGACGGGACACAGUAUCACAGAGUAAAAUUUAGUAAAAUUCAUUGAAAAGACUUUUUCUGUAAGAUCAGUGACCUCAUUGUUCCACAACCAUCAGGCACAACAAGAGGAGCAGGACGUGGGUCCUGAAGGAACACCUGGCCACCUCUGGACCUCCGUCUCCUCAGGACUCCUCGGGUCGUCUUCCAUUCACGGCUUGUGUUUUUAUCUGACUUUGGUUUUACCAGGAAGUUCCUCUGAUCAAGAUUUCUGUUAACAAGAGAGACCUGAUGGAGGUCACGGCUGCACAACAUAACAUCAAGAUAAAUAUGCAGAAUAUAAAACAUGUUAGACGAAAAACAUCAAGUCUCGUCUCCACUGGAGAUAAAUGUGUCCAAGUUCAGAUCCGUUUGAAGUUAU